GCUCGGGAGCAGCCGGAGCGGUAGCGGCGGCGGCGGCGGCGGCGGCGGCGAGGCUCGGCGCCCUCUUCUCUGCAAACCAUGUUUGCCAAAGGCAAAGGCUCGGCGGUGCCCUCGGACGGGCAGGCUCGGGAAAAGUUAGCUUUAUACGUCUACGAAUAUUUACUGCACGUAGGAGCACAGAAAUCUGCACAGACCUUCUUGUCGGAGAUUCGAUGGGAAAAAAACAUCACGUUGGGAGAACCGCCUGGGUUUUUGCACUCGUGGUGGUGCGUAUUUUGGGACCUUUACUGUGCAGCUCCUGAAAGGCGAGACACUUGUGAACAUUCGAGUGAAGCAAAAGCCUUUCAUGAUUACAGUGCGGCAGCCGCCCCGAGCCCCGUGCUUGGCAACAUUCCCCCCAACGAUGGGAUGCCGGGAGGCCCCAUCCCGCCGGGUUUCUUUCAGCCUCCGGGAGGAGUUCCUGGGACCCAGCCACUGCUGCCCAAUUCCAUGGAUCCCACCCGACAACAAGGGCACCCCAACAUGGGAGGAUCAAUGCAGAGAAUGAACCCUCCCCGAGGCAUGGGGCCCAUGGGGCCCGGCCCACAGAAUUAUGGCAGCGGCACGAGACCACCACCCAACUCCCUCGGCCCCGCCAUGCCCGGGAUUAACAUGGGUCCGGGAGCUGGCAGACCCUGGCCAAAUCCUAACAGUGCUAACUCAAUUCCAUACUCCUCCUCAUCACCUGGUACCUACGUGGGACCUCCUGGUGGUGGUGGCCCCCCAGGAACACCCAUCAUGCCUAGUCCUGCAGAUUCAACAAAUUCCAGUGACAACAUCUACACAAUGAUUAAUCCGGUGCCGCCUGGAGGCAGCCGGUCCAACUUCCCGAUGGGUCCAGGCUCGGACGGCCCGAUGGGAGGCAUGGGCGGCAUGGAGCCACACCACAUGAAUGGAUCGUUAAGGUCAGGUGACAUAGAUGGACUUCCAAAAAAUUCUAACAACAUAAGUGGCAUUAGCAACCCUCCAGGCACCCCUCGGGACGACGGUGAGCUAGGAGGGAACUUCCUCCACUCCUUCCAGAAUGACAAUUAUUCUCCAAGCAUGACGAUGAGCGUGUGAUCCCCUCCUCUUCUCCGAGACGCUGAGAGAGCCGGCAUUUCAGGCGGGAAGAUGCCAGAAAUUAUGCAAGAAGAAGUGAGGUGUCAUUACCCAGGAGCUGGGGAGGGGCGUCUCCCUGCUCCCCCUCAGCCCCCACCCUCCUCCUCCAGUCCCCCCACCUGUCCCAGUUUUAGUUUCAUGCAAUAAAAAGGCCGAACUUUUUAUUCCAUAAAACAUGAAGGACAAAACUCAAAAUAAAAAUAUAUUUCAAGUCAGUGACCAGAAAAAUCCCA